GGAAUAUGAGCAGAACGCAAAUUUCACAAUUUGCUUACGCAUGGUCUCAUCCAGGAGCAACGCUAGGUGAAAUGUGGAAAACCACACCCAGCAUCGGAACACACAGAACACGAGUGAGCAGCCUCCGUUCACUGCAAGUACUGAGUCACACUUACCCAGUCCUGGGAUUAGAACUCACCCUCUGAUUCCAGCUGACUCUCCUUCCACAGCUUCACCUUAAUUCAUGAGCUGCAACCCUUCCUAUGCCCACUUCUACAGGCACACUUCAGGUCUUUUCCAAGUAUUCAACUUACACUAUUACAAAAUUUGAAUCUCACAAUAACCCACUGAAAAAGCCAAUGAAUCUUCCUUUAUUACAAAAGAAGAAGAAGCCUCAGAAAAGGUUGAAAUCCUAACCCCCAAAGCAAUGGUAUCAGAAGGUGGGGACUUUGGAAAGCGAUUAAGUCAUGAAUGAGAUUAGCGACCUUAUAAAAGAGACCCCAGAGGGCUCAUUUGCCCCUGCUGCCAUGGGAGGACACAGCAAAAUGACAGCCUUCUACAAACCAGAAAGUGGGCCUUCAACACACAGUCAAUCUGUCUGUGAGAAAUAAAUUCCUGUUGUUUAUAAACCAGUU
rnacentral:lncRNA from 1 species